GAGACAAGUGUGCAAGAGA
rnacentral:snRNA from 1 species